rnacentral:lncRNA from 1 species
UCUGGAGCAACCAAGGCCAGCCAAGUUGUUGGAAGACAAAUUUUCUCCGUUCUCAAAGCUUGUGGUGGAAUCCAUGAUGAGGUUGAUACACACUUGAGCCAGCAUCACAAAUGUUAUCAAAAUGAAAUUUUACCUUAUCCAAAUUGUGGUAUGCAAAUAUUAGAAAGGUACUACGCCUCUCUGAUUCAUCGGAUGUGGUAUAGAAGCUGGCAUGUAAUAUAUGAAAUUUGUAUAGCUAGGCGCACUACCGGGCAUCGAAGGAUGUGCUGGCUCUUGACUUAUUUCUGCAGGUGGCGGCACACCAUGAACUAACUGGAGGAGCCAAACUGGAUUUGUAGGCUUAUGCAAAGUGCUAGCACCUAGAGACGAUCUGGAUUUUCCUCUUGUAAAUGUCAUGAGGCAUGAGCCACAACCUCUUCAUAGGACAUUAAAACAAAACAUUGAUCCCCAUAUGGGUACACAAACAUUGUCCUUUUGAUUUAUUUUUCCAGUAGAUGAUUUUGGACCAUGUUUUCUUUACUCCAUGCCCUUUUGCUGUACUAAUUUUUUGGGCGAUGCCACAUAAGUUAUAUUGCUAUACUGAAGUGUUGAUAUUAGUAUAUGUAGCAAUAGAAUGUCGGGAUGGUAGCUCUAGCCUCUGCCAACAUUCUAAAAAUUGUAGCAUCCUUUAUACUAAUAUUAAAUGUUUUUGGAUGGUUCUUUUUCUUGAGCAGCUGCUCCCGUCCACGGCCUCCUUGAUCUCAGGAUCUGCUCCUUCCCCACGUCUGCCCACGAGGACAAGGAGGCACAGCCGUGGCCACUAGCAGCGCCAGAAGGAGCGUCCAUUAAGGCAGGAUGGUGUGCAAGUUCCUCUUUUUUUCUAAGCUUAG